UAUCCCCACCAUGGGCUAAGAGACACCUUGUUGGUCAUGUUGUUCUUGUAUCAGUCAGGGUCAUAACAAACAGCAGUUUUUUAUUCAUCCUAAAUUGAUGCCUGACUUAGUGGCCAAAGCUGUUUUAUGCUUAGGACUCAUAA
rfam:Mus musculus chromosome 17, GRC primary reference assembly.